rnacentral:rRNA from 1 species
CGGUGAGGAACCUGCCUUUCAGAGGGGGACAACAGUUGGAAACGACUGCUAAUACCGCAUAACACAUAGGUGUCGCAUGGCAUUUAUGUCAAAGAUUUAUCGCUGAAAGAUGGCCUCGCGUCUGAUUAGCUAGUUGGUGAGGUAACGGCUCACCAAGGCGACGAUCAGUAGCCGGACUGAGAGGUUGGCCGGCCACAUUGGGACUGAGAUACGGCCCAGACUCCUACGGGAGGCAGCAG